GAGAUCUGGAUCUGGAUCCAGCUGUGUGUCCUUCAGGAGUGACACGUCAAAGGAUUAUAAUCCUGACUUCAAGUCCAUCAGUCCAGGAGUGAAACAAAUCCUACUGAUGUCUGGAUCUGGAUUAAGCUGUGUGUCCUUCAGGAGUGACUGGUCAAAGGGUUUUAAUCCUGACUUCAAGUCCAUCAGUCCAGCAGUGAAACAAGUCCGACAGAGAUCUAAAUCUGGACCUGGAUCUGGAUCCAGCUGUGUGUCCUUCAGGAGUGACACGUCAACGGGUAUUAAUCCUGACUUCAAGUCCAUCUGUCCAGAAGUGAAACAGUAA